rnacentral:rRNA from 1 species
AGCUCCAAUAGCGUAUGUUAAAGUUGUUGCGGCUAAAAAGCUCGUAGUUGGAUUUCUGUUGAGAACGAGUGGUCCGCUCUAUGAGCGUGCAUCUACUUUGGUCUCGGCAUCCGUUCUUCUGUUGUACUGUGCUUGAUUGCAUGGUGCAGUGGUAGAACCUUUUACUUUGAGGAAAUUAGAGUGUUCACGGCAGGCAGUCGCCUUGAAUAUAUUAGCAUGGAAUAAUAACAUAGGAUCUUGGUUCUAUUUUGUUGGUUUCUAGAGCUAGGAUAAUGAUUAAUAGGGACAAUUGGGGGCAUUCGUAUUGCGGUGUCAGAGGUGGAAUUCUUGGAUUACUGCACGACGAACUACUGCGAAAGCAUUUGCCAAGGAUGUUUUCA